rnacentral:misc_RNA from 1 species
AACGGUCUAUACCUGCGGUACCUGCGGAGGGAUCAUUACAGGACUCGCAAGACUCCUUAAACCCCUGUGAACUUACUGUUUAUACGUUGCUUCGGCGGGUGCUCCGGGGUCCGCCCCGGGGCGCUGCGCCCGCCGGCAGCCUACUUAAUUCUGUUUCUCUGCGUUGGCAUCUCGAGUAAGCAAAAUAAGUUAAAACUUUCAACAAUGGAUCUCU